AGUAAUUGCUAAGUGUCUAAAUUUUUUGUUCUUCUUUUAAAGAGCAGCUUUACUUGGAAGACAGUUAAAUUGCCUGCAGAUCAGCUUUUAAGACUUGAAUGUAAGCUCUGUUGAGAGGAAGGGAGAGGGAGAGAGAUUUAGAAGCAGC